CAAAUAAAGAGGGAGAGGUGGAACAUACAGGAGAGAGAAGAAAUGACCAGUGCAGUGAGGUUCCAGAGCUGGGGACAGGAGGACGAGCAGAGACCAAGCCAGUGGAGGAAGCAUUGACUGGUCCUAUGAUUAUGGCAUCAAGUACUCAUUUGCCUUUGAACUGAGAGACACAGGGCGCUACGGCUUCCUCUUGCCAGCCCGUCAGAUCCUGCCCACAGCCGAGGAGACCUGGCUUGGCUUGAAGGCAAUCAUGGAGCAUGUGCGAGACCACCCCUAUUAGGGCCCUGGGGAAGAAACAAGAGCCAUUAAAAUCUCUUUGGUUUGAAGCAAA
rnacentral:lncRNA from 1 species